UACGUAGGGUGCGAGCGUUGUUCGGAAUUACUGGGCGUAAAGAGCUCGUAGGUGGUUUGUCGCGUUGUUCGUGAAAUCUCACGGCUUAACUGUGAGCGUGCGGGCGAUACGGGCAGACUAGAGUACUGCAGGGGAGACUGGAAUUCCUGGUGUAGCGGUGGAAUGCGCAGAUAUCAGGAGGAACACCGAUGGCGAAGGCGGGUCUCUGGGCAGUAACUGACGCUGAGGAGCGAAAGCGUGGGGAGCGAACAGG
rnacentral:rRNA from 1 species